CUGAAAUCAAAAGCUAUUUCAAUCAAACUUAUAACAACAUUUUAACUUUUUAAACAUUUUAACAGGUCAAGUUACAUUUUAACAUAGGACCCCUUAUUUGAUAGCAGCUUCACAAGUCUUGCAUCCAUUGAACUUGGACAGUUUCUGCUUGAAUUUGUUUGCAAGAUGUCAGAAUAGCCCCCCAGAGCUGCUGUUUGGAUGUAAACUGCCUCCCACCCUCAUAGAUCUUUUGCUUGAGGAUGCUCCAAAGGUUCUCAAUAGGAUUGAGGUCAGGGGAGGAUGGAGGCCACACCAUGACUUUCUCUCCUUUUAUCCCCA